UACGAAGGGGGCUAGCGUUGUUCGGAAUUACUGGGCGUAAAGCGCACGUAGGCGGAUAUUUAAGUCAGGGGUGAAAUCCCAGAGCUCAACUCUGGAACUGCCUUUGAUACUGGGGUAUCUUGAGUAUGGAAGAGGUAAGUGGAAUUGCGAGUGUAGAGGUGAAAAUUCGUAGAUAUUCGCAGGAACACCAGUGGCGAAGGCGGCUUACUGGUCCAUUUACUG
rnacentral:rRNA from 1 species